AAGAAAUUAGUUAAAUUUAUAACAUUAGAUUGUCAAACUAAAAUUAUUACUCUAUUGAUAUUUCUUA
rnacentral:tRNA from 1 species